UGGAUUGCUUAUUUAUUUGCUUAUAUAUAGUGUAUUGUUAAUUGCACGCGUCUUCAUUCUUUAUCUUUUGUUAUUUAAUUCUGCAGAUGCUGGAGUUGAGCAAGUCAAUCUGGCAAUCAAAUUCUAUUCUUAGUGUAUGCCAAAUUUGAUUAUGUCUCUUAAGGCAUUUAGUCAAGAAUUCUUUAGAGAAGCUAUCAAGGAGACGAAAAACUAUGUGAAGUAAAAGAGUAAACGGUCGGAGAUGCCCUUGUAGAUGACCUACCCAGCUUUGGAAGGACAUGGGUGGAUAAUUAUCACCGGAUUUGAUCCAAAAAACACAGGGCGUAGUUACCUUAUUCUUUUGAGAAGGCGUUCUUCUACUGGAGAUUCUGAUGACAAGAAACUGACUGGUUAUAGUGACAUAUUUAUUCUUCAAGGGUUCUUCUACUGGAGAUUCUGAUGACAAGAAGAUCAGUGAGGAGCAAAUGGAAAGCUAUUGCUUGGUUGAUUAUCAAAAAUCGAUGUUGAGAGCUACUGUCACUUUAUUGAAAAUGUUAAUCUAAUUGUAAGUUUUUUGUUUGCUUGUUCUGUAAUGCCAACAUGACGGGUAACAAAGACAAAAAGGUUGAGAGUAAUGCAUGUUUCACGUAGUCAUAUGAGAGUAUACCUCCAGCUAAAGAAUAUAGUGACUUUUCGUCUUUCUGUGUGAAUGGUAUGCCUGCUUUGGCAUCUCAUUUGAGAUUUGUUCAUUUUUAGCAGAUAGCACAUAUGUUCAAGAGCUUGAAAUGUACCUACUGUAUAUUUUUAAGAAUCCUAGGG